rnacentral:rRNA from 1 species
UACGUAGGGUGCAAGCGUUGUCCGGAAUUAUUGGGCGUAAAGGGCUCGUAGGCGGUCCAUCGCGUCGGGAGUGAAAAGCUGGGGCUUAACCCCAGUCCUGCUUCCGAUACGGGCUGACUAGAGUGCGGUAGGGGAGACUGGAAUUCCUGGUGUAGCGGUGAAAUGCGCAGAUAUCAGGAGGAACACCGGUGGCGAAGGCGGGUCUCUGGGCCGUAACUGACGCUGAGGAGCGAAAGCGUGGGGAGCGAACAGG